GUCUGAAGUGCCCUUUUUCCUCUACUGGGAUGAUCCCAGCUGUCCCUGGGUGUGGGACACUGGCACAACAGUGUCACUGAUAGUGCCUGGCAGGGAUCUCUCACCAGGAGCUGCGAGGUUUCUGCAAAGGGAGGAAAAGCAGAGCAGGGCAGCCAAGCUGGGGCUGGUGCCUGGGCUUUGACUUACAGAAUUAUUGCUAACUGUACACUCUCUGAUGGUAGGAAACAGCAUUUUGCCCCCAGCCAUUUUUCCCAAGAUCAGAGCCAAAGUAACUCUGUCUCCUGCUGUUUUGUAGCUGUAGAUUCUUAA
rnacentral:lncRNA from 1 species